UUGUACUUUAUAUUUCUUUAACAAAAUCAAUGUUAUAAUAAUGUUUGUGUUUAUCGAAAGUAUGUAUAGGUAGUACAUAAUUUUUAGUAGUAGUAGGUGGGAUUAUUGUCUAAGGCAAUUAUUUAUGAAAAGAAAACAAAAAAAUCUCCUGAUAAAUUUCAGAAUUAAAUAAACAAUGAUUUAAAUUUAAAAGUUGUAAUAAUUUAUACAUAUAGUUAUAUAUUUUAAUUAUAUUAACAUUAAAGUAGGUUCCUAAUUUACUUCUAUAAUUAUGUUUGGAAGCGUAAUAACACAAAAUAUCCAUAUUUUUUUUUACAAAUUUUGGUUUAAACUUUUUAGUUUAAACUAAAAUAAUUAGUCCAUAAGUUUAUUAAUUCUAGCCUUUUUAUUUACUCAUAUAUUUUUUAAUGUUUGUUUACAGGAAUAUAUUACUCUACAUGGGACUUUACUAUCCUAGUUAAUAUUGUUUGGCAAUACAAAAUCAGUAAUUUGAAAUUUAACUUGAAGCUGUAAUUCAACAAAUUGCACAUAUCUCAGAAGUGAUGCAAUGAAGGAUUAAGAUGUAAUGUCUGUUUACCAAAAAUAUUUUCUUAAUCUUAAACAUUAUUUAUUCAUACUAAUUUAAUAUUGUAUCGUAUAUAAUAAACUACUAAUAAUUCUUUGUUUAAAUUUGUGAAAAGUGUAUGCUGUCAUUCAAACAAUGCACCAAGGCUCUAUAAGUAAUCAAGAAUCAUAAUUUAUUUUGGAAAAGAAAUAGAUAAUCUAAUAUUAAUGUAUAAAAAUCAAACAAUAUUACAAGUCAUCACUUAUAGUUGCUUGUUACUUGCAUUUUCUUUUCAGUUUACAUUUUUUAGUGCUGACGAGUCUACUGCAAUGCCACUUAUGUAUCGUUGUCCGAAAAACUGUGGUCGACGAUAUACACGAAAA